UCCAUCACAGGUCACUUCCUCAGCCAAAGUUGGUACCCAUUUACAGCUGGGUGGACCGGGUUGAUGCAGAUUAAGGGUCUUAUCCAAGGACGCAGACAAGUAG